rnacentral:rRNA from 1 species
GACGUAGGGCGCGAGCGUUGUCCGGAUUUAUUGGGCGUAAAGAGCUCGUAGGCGGCUUGUCGCGUCGUUCGUGAAAACCUGCAGCUCAACUGCAGGCUUGCGGUCGAUACGGGCAGGCUAGAGUUCGGUAGGGGAGACUGGAAUUCCUGGUGUAGCGGUGAAAUGCGCAGAUAUCAGGAGGAACACCGGUGGCGAAGGCGGCAUCCUGGACCGGCAUUGACGCUGAGGCGCGAAAGCCAGGGGAGCAAACGGG